rnacentral:rRNA from 1 species
GGAUGCGAUCAUACCAACUCACAUGCACCGGAUCCCAUCAGAACUCCGAAGUCAAGCGAGUUUGGGCGACAGUAGUACUAGGAUGGGUGACCUCCUGUUAAGUCCUUGUGUUGCAUGCC